rnacentral:lncRNA from 1 species
AACCCACGGGUCACACCUGAGGGUCCAGCACGCGGCUGGUGUCACCACCCCUGAGAUUCAGCGCCCCCCUACCACAGGGCCGGCAUGGUAGGAAGCGUUUGAUGUGUUGCAUGAUGGCUGCCGGUCAGAGUGCUUCUGAUUAGCCAUGGCGGGCUUCUGCUUCCUCUCCCCUUCCCCCAUCUCCUUUAAUGUCUUGCAGGUGAGUUCCAGCGACCCUCGGGGUUACCACAAACACACGUGCAGGCAGCAGCCAGAAAUGCGAGAGGGUUAAUUCUGGAGAGGGUGACAGCUACCUGAUUUGAUAAUGGAUGAAGGGGUACCACCUGGAACAGUCCGAGCUCCUGGACAAUGUCGAGAAGAGCGCUGAGGAGGAGCUGAUCAUUGGAGGAGCUCUGGAAGCACCUUUUUCCAGUCGGAGAUCAAAGGCACCGCCAGACCAGCCACGCCACAGGAAUCUCAGAAUGUGCCCUGCUUUUGUUUGCCGUUGCUAGGAGAGCUGUGGACAGCCCAAACUGCUCUGCAGCACAAGAUCAAAAACAUUUUCAAAAUAAAUUUAGUGAUUUUCAAAGGGCA